UACCUGGAAUCUACCCCAGUGUCUGUUAUUGAAGUGGUUAAAUGACUGGCUGCUGCAGACUUCUCCUCAUUGUUAUUUUGUACAUUACUAAAAUAUCAACUUCCUGUCCUAGAAUGAUAGAUGAGUAUUUACCUCACAUUCAAUAUUUUACUUUGACAAAUUGACUCUUUUAUUAUAACAUGCAAUGUUUGCCAAAAGAAUAAACAAUAAACACAAAUCUGGCAUAAAGCCCUGCCGUCACAAUAACACAAAAUAGCACAGAAACCCAAUACUGACUGCUAAAAUAGCACAGAAACCCAAUACUGACUGCUAUGUAACCCCCCACCCCACACACACAAUAACUUCCAGCAGUGUAAACAAGAGGGCGUGUGAAUUGUGAGUGGGGAGUGAAUAGGGAGUUAGGACAUGGGAUGGGCUAAAAUGCCUUUUUAGUCUCACACAUUGUAUGAGCAGCACCUGGCAUCCUGUACAGUCAGUGCAGAGCUUUUGUCCUCUGACCCCCGGACUCCAUGCCUGAGGAGAGCAAUGCUGGAAAGUAUACCAGGAAGUCCCUGAAGUGAUCUGAGAAAUAUUGUCAUAGAUGAGUAAAUCCGCUUCAAAAGCCCAUAGUAGUCAGCGGAUCAGUGAUUCCACCAGAUCCGGAAAGGGAUUGUCUUGCAAUUUCAAAUUCUUGAGUCCUGCUCUGGAUUAUACCCCUGGCAGAAGCUGACUGACGGCGGAGAGAAGACAAGCCGAGACACACGAUCGAAUCAUCCCACAAUCUCGGAGCGCAACACCCCGAAUUGGGGGACUACAAUCUGCAUAAUUUUCUGUGGUGGAUGAUGAUCUCUGGGUAAAGAAAGAGUUUCCUUUCUCAAGUGUAAAUAAGAUGGAAACUGACAUCAUACAAGCAACGAAGAGGGCUUGUUGGCCUAUAAUAUUGAUAUGGGAACGCAUAAAUCAGGCAUACACUUCUGAUUCUCCACCUAUGGACUGGGGUCUCCAAAAGGGAGAGUAUGGAAUCCAAUCCUGGACAUUCUCUGCAAACAACGAGAGCUACACUGUGGUCUGGGAUAAGGGUCGCUCUUAUUGGCAAGUGAAUACUCCGUUCGAAACAAAUCUGUUUUUUAGGGGGCCCCUUUUUAUAGAUAAAUCAAGGAGAGGCCUACAUGUACCUCCUUUAUUGACUGUGAUAAACUCGGAUAAGGAUCUCCUAAUCCCUGCCGAUGCUGGAAGAGUGUUAAAAAAAGUUGCAAAAAUUACACAAUAUAUGUUUAAGCCAUUCUCAACAAAGGUUCCUGAUUCUACCACAUCACAGCAGUGAUUGUCACUUUUAAGGUGCCGUAUUUCCAUAUGCCAGGUUUUAUGCAGAUCAGAGGCACUUCUGGAUGAUGAGGUGAAAAGAAUAUCUUGCUGUGGUGGAUGACGAUCUCUGGGUAAAAGUUUAUUUUUUUAAUCAAGUGUAAGAUGGAAACUGACAUCGUACAAACUUAUGAGGAGGCUUGUUGGCCAGUAAUGUUGAUAUGGGAACGCAUAAAUCAGGCAUACACUUCUGAUUCUCCUCCUACGGACUGGGGUCUCCAAAAAGGAGAAUUUGGAUUCCAAUCCUGGAUAUUCUCAAGCAACGAGAGAUACACCGUGGUCUGGGAUAAGGGUCGCUCUUACUGGAAAGUGAAUUCUCCAUUCGAAACGCAUCUGUAUUUUAUCGGGCCCCUUUUUAUAGAUAAAUCAAGGAAAGGCUUACCUGUACCACCUUUAUUUACUGUUAUUAACUCGGAGAAGGAUACCUUAUUUCCUGCCAAUCCUGCAAGAGUGUCUGAAAAACUUGUAAAAAUUGCACAAUAUGUGUUUAAGCCAUUCGCAACAAAGGUUCCUGAUUCUACUACAUCACAGCAGUGAUUGUCACCUUUUAAAGUGCUGUAUUUCUAUAUGCCCUCCAAAACACUUAUGGACAUGCCAGGUUUUCUGCAGAUCAGAGGCACUUCUAAAUCAUGAGGCGGAAAGGUAUAUUAUUAAAAUGUUUGCUGAUGAUUUUAUAAUAUUUAGAAGAUGGCUUCUAAAAGCUAACCUUUUUGUCCUUUGCGUCUUUGUUUAAUGUACAUGUGUGCAAUUCGGAUAUCUGAGUGUAGAAGAAUAUGGAAACAAGGAUCCUGUUAAGUCUUGGGACAUUGAAUCAUAAAAGUAUAAUUUUAAGAUAUGCAGAAUCCGCUAAAAAGCAGAAGUCCCCCAAGAUUUAUCAGAAGACAAUAUCGACAUCUGACCAGUGACCAAAGACUGCAUAGUUUACACAUUUCUUCAAUGUCAAUCAUCCAGUAAAUUGAGACAGUUUUCAGCAUACAUCUGAUGUCUGUUACUGAUCUCCUACACUACAACAUGUCUUUGAAUUAGGCUGACUAUCUGUAGACAGGUAGUUGUACCUGUACUCCAAAGAAAAUCUACAACAGGGACUACAGGGUUUGUAUAUCAGUACACCCAGGUAUGCAUCUUUGUGAAAAAAUAAAAUGGUAUUUUACACAAAAUACUGAAAAGGCUUUGGUGUUGUCUUUUAUAGGACAACGCUAAUAUUCCACUUGGGUGAUGAAAGUCUGCACCAGUGCUAUUCCAUGUAUCCGCAUAAGCGAUAUGUAUAUUCGGAGGGGAGGAUAAAUGAUGUUCUUUCGCUCAAUGGUUUACUUAUGCCUUAAGAGCCAACAUGUGUAGCCAGGGUCUUCAGCACUAAGCAAUGGGCCUGUUGGUUUGAGAUCAAAGGGGUUGUAAACCCUCGUUCUUUCACAUUAAGGUAAAAAAAACUCCUGUGAUGGAGCAUAGCCCCCCCUUUUUACUUACCUGAACCUGGUUUUUCUAGCGACGGGGACAAGCACACCAGCUCUAGCCGGUGUCUCUGAUCCCGAUUGAAUAGAUUGAUGGCGAGAGUGCCCCGAGGGAGAGCGGCUCUCCAACAAGGCACUCAGAAGAGGAGGAGCCAGGAGCACCGCUGAGGGACCCCAGAAGAGGGGGAUCUGGGGCUACUCUGUGCAAAACUAACAACACAGAGGAGGUAAGUAUGAUGUGUGUUUUUAUUUAUUUUUGUUCAGACCUUUACAUAUAGUUUAACCCCUUUCAGCUACCAUCUCCUGGCCCUUUAAGAACUUCAAGUUACUGCUUUAAUCGGCUGUCACAUGAUCGAAAAUAUGCAUCCAUGCUGGGAGCGCGCAGGGCGCACAGUUUUGUGUUUUCAUAGGGCUAAAUAUAUGCAGGCUCUCUGCAUUAAAGCCCACCUGCCGCAUAUGUGUGUGCAGGUGGUGGGAAGAGGUUAAAGUGUUUGUCAACCCAAU